rnacentral:lncRNA from 1 species
UUGAAUCCUACUGGACUUCAAGUCUUGCAUGUCUGAGAUAGAAGUCUGUAUUGCCCUCGUGGCAGUUUGAGUUGGGAAGGGUGCGUCCCACUACAGAAAUUGGAGGUUCCAAGCUUGUAAUUUCAAGGUUAGUUAGUCUUCUUCCCAAAUCAUCCAACUCCAUUUUCAGUGAUUUGUCAAACUGCAAGAAGCAGAAAAAAUGUAAUUUUCUUAAAACAGACAUAUAGAGAGAGAAACAGGCUGUGUUUAGAGAAAUCAACGGGCCACAUCAGAUUUAGUAAAUUCAGUUUGACUUGAAUUGCAUCUGACUGUUAGGGUCUUUAGAUUAUCCAAAUCCAAUCUCAACCCGUCAAGAAACGAAACGAGGUUAUUUCUGUGAUGUGGCCUUCUUGCAAUUUGUUAAAAGAGUUGCCACCAAGCGCUGAUGGUGAUUCAACAAAGCAUGCAUAUUUUGCAUGUACAAAGCCGGCAAUAAUGAUAAGAUGAGCUUUCCUCAGAAGAAAUGAUAAAGGUUAGUACACUAUUAAACCAUGGAUUGAAAGCAAAAAUGCAGAAAGGGGCGGUUCAUGAAAGAAGAGAUACAGAAUUUAAAGGAAAUUUCUGUACAUCUGAAUACUUGCAGCGUGUAUUUCUAAAGUCUGGGCAUGGCUUAUACUUUCAGGAGGAUGAACCAACGAUUUUCUCUUUGAAUUGUUCAUGUAGAUUGGCUCCAAGAUUAAGACUUGCGGCUUAAGAGAUUCAUAUUCCCAGAAUCAAGACUGAAGACGCCCUUUUCGGUACUGAAGCGAAGAAUCAUAUGUACAGUGUUUGAAUCCAUUCAGUGACGGAAUUGCACUUCAAAACUUGCAAAUCCUUCAGAGAGGAACUGACAAUGGAUAGAUCUAGCUCCUCAAAUUGGCAUUCAAAAAUACUUUAAUCCUUUGUUUGGAUCUUAAGCACACAAGGAAAAUAAAAUGAAGUUAAUGUCCAAUUUAUUUGCGAAAAAUAAUUUACUUUAUUAUAUUUGGAUAAAUCAUUAAUAGAGAAGGAAAAAAGAAGUCAAUUUUUCUUCCUGAAAAAUGGAAACAAGAAGUUUUUUUUUAUCCAUAUCUCAUUAAUUUUAUAGAGAAAUAU